AGAGAAUGCCAUUUGACCUUCAGGUCUAAGGAACAGCUUGAGAUUGGCAAACCACUGGAUAAAACUAGUCAAACUUGUAUAAUAAAUCAGGAAUGGAAAAAGAAAAUUAUAAUAGCAAUGAACAUAUGGCUGUUACUAUCAGCGCUGGUGUAUUUGCGGCGAUGCCUAUCAACAUCCACCAGAGAGCAGGGCAGCUCCAAAACCCACAUCUUUUAUGCUGUGGAAAUUGAUGGAGACAGCAGCACAGCCAGCUUCUUGGCCAAACAACAUGGAAUGCAGUUCAUUUCAAAGCCUGUAAGGCUUGUGCAUGAUGUCUCUGAGAGCAAUUUCCAGCAGAGUGAAGCCUUAUCACAGAUUCACCUAAAAGGUGAAGUGGGUGAAUAUCAGACAGCUCAUUAUAGAGACAUGCAAGCUGCAUUCCCAAAGUAGG
rnacentral:lncRNA from 1 species